CCAUCUCCUGACCUCGUGAUUCGUCCGCCUCAGCCUCCCAAAGUGCUGGGAUUACAGGCUCGAGCCACUGAGCCCGGCCAUUAGCUGACUUUUUAAUUCUAGCUGUUCUGAUCUAGUACCAAGUCUUGAGAACAAUGAGAUAGCCUCAUGAAGAGGUCCAUGUAAUGAGGAAAUAAGACUUCCAUCCAACAGCCAAAGAGAAACUGAAGACUCCAGCCAAUAGCAAUGACCUGAUGGUUUUAGAAGUGUCUGGCAUUUCUCCUGCUUGCCCUUCUCUCUGCUGCCACCAUGUGAAGAAGGUCCUUGCUUCUCCUUCACUUUCUGCUAUGACUUUAUAAAAUUUUUGCCAAGACCAAGCUGACAUCUUUGUAGAAAUUAACAGGCUAAGCCAGCUGUGGUGGCUCACACCUAUAAUCCCAGCACUUUGGACGACGAAGGCAGGAGGAUCGUUUGAGCCCAGGAAUUUGAGACCAGCCUGGACAAUGUAAGGAGACACCAUCUCUACUAAAAAUAAAAAAAUAGACAGGUGUGGUGGUGGGCGCUAGUGGUCCCAGCUACUUAAGAAGCUGAGGCGGGAGGAUCACUUGAGCCCAGUAGGUUGAGACCGCAGUUCGCCAUGAUUGCACCACUGAAUUCCAGCCUGGGAGACAGAACAAGACCCCUUCUCAAAAAAAAUGAAAUUAACUGGCGAAUUCUAAAAUUCACAUAGAAUUGCAAGGAACCCAGAAUAGCCAAAUAAUCUUUAAAAAAAGAAUGAAGUAUGAUAACUCACAUUUCUCUAUUUUAAAACUUACUAUUGUAUAAAACUAUGGUAACCAAGAGAGUGUAGUACCAGCUCAAAAACAGACAUAUAAAUCAAUGGAACAGUAUUGCUGUCCCCAAAAUCAACCAAUACAUAUAUGGUUAACUGAUUUGUGCCAA
rnacentral:lncRNA from 10 species